AGAGUUUGAUCAUGGCUCAGAUUGAACGCUGGCGGCAGGCUUAACACAUGCAAGUCGAACGGUAACAGGGAGAAGCUUGCUUCUUUGCUGACGAGUGGCGGACGGGUGAGUAAUGCUUGGGAAUCUGGCUUAUGGAGGGGGAUAACUACGGGAAACUGUAGCUAAUACCGCGUAAUAUCUUCGGAUUAAAGGGUGGGACUUUCGGGCCACCUGCCAUAAGAUGAGCCCAAGUGGGAUUAGGUAGUUGGUGGGGUAAAGGCCUACCAAGCCGACGAUCUCUAGCUGGUCUGAGAGGAUGACCAGCCACACUGGAACUGAGACACGGUCCAGACUCCUACGGGAGGCAGCAGUGGGGAAUAUUGCACAAUGGGGGGAACCCUGAUGCAGCCAUGCCGCGUGAAUGAAGAAGGCCUUCGGGUUGUAAAGUUCUUUCGGUGAUGAGGAAGGUGUUUGUUUUAAUAGAACAAGCAAUUGACGUUAGUCACAGAAGAAGCACCGGCUAACUCCGUGCCAGCAGCCGCGGUAAUACGGAGGGUGCGAGCGUUAAUCGGAAUGACUGGGCGUAAAGGGCACGCAGGCGGUGACUUAAGUGAGAUGUGAAAGCCCCGAGCUUAACUUGGGAAUUGCAUUUCAUACUGGGUCGCUAGAGUAUUUUAGGGAGGGGUAGAAUUCCACGUGUAGCGGUGAAAUGCGUAGAGAUGUGGAGGAAUACCGAAGGCGAAGGCAGCCCCUUGGGAAUAUACUGACGCUCAUGUGCGAAAGCGUGGGGAGCAAACGGGAUUAGAUACCCUGGUAGUCCACGCUGUAAACGCUGUCGAUUUGGGGAUUGGGCUUAGAGCUUGGUGCCCGUAGCU
rnacentral:rRNA from 1 species